rnacentral:rRNA from 1 species
GGAAACAUGUCUAGCUUGCUAGAUGAUGACGAGUGGCGGACGGGUGAGUAAUACUUAGGAACAUGCCUUUGUGUGGGGGAUAACCAUUGGAAACGAUGGCUAAUACCGCAUAAUGUCUUUGGACCAAAGAGGGCUUUCGGGCUCUCGCGCAAAGAGUGGCCUAAGUGAGAUUAGCUUGUUGGUGAGGUAAAGGCUCACCAAGGCGACGAUCUCUAGCUGUUCUGAGAGGAAGAUCAGCCACACUGGGACUGAGACACGGCCCAGACUCCUACGGGAGGCAGCAGUGGGGAAUAUUGCACAAUGGGGGCAACCCUGAUGCAGCCAUGCCGCGUGUGUGAAGAAGGCCUUCGGGUUGUAAAGCACUUUCAGUUGUGAGGAAAGGUUGAUGGUUAAUACCCAUCAGCUGUGACGUUAGCAACAGAAGAAGCACCGGCUAACUCCGUGCCAGCAGCCGCGGUAAUACGGAGGGUGCGAGCGUUAAUCGGAAUUACUGGGCGUAAAGCGUUCGUAGGCGGUUGAUUAAGCAAGAUGUGAAAGCCCAGGGCUCAACCUUGGAACUGCAUUUUGAACUGGUCAACUAGAGUACUGUAGAGGGUGGUGGAAUUUCCAGUGUAGCG